GUGACGUUCGGAUUAUUGGGCGUAAGAGCUCGUAGGCGGUUUGUCGCGUCUGCCGUGAAAGUCCGGGGCUCAACUCCGGAUCUGCGGUGGGUACGGGCAGACUAGAGUGAUGUAGGGGAGACUGGAAUUCCUGGUGUAGCGGUGAAAUGCGCAGAUAUCAGGAGGAACACCGAUGGCGAAGGCAGGUCUCUGGGCAUUAACUGACGCUGAGGAGCGAAAGCAUGGGGAGCGAACAGGAUUAGAUACCCUGGUAGUCCAUGCCGUAAACGUUGGGCACUAGGUGUGGGGGACAUUCCACGUUUUCCGCGCCGUAGCUAACGCAUUAAGUGCCCCGCCUGGGGAGUACGGCCGCAAGGCUAAAACUCAAAGGAAUUGACGGGGGCCCGCACAAGCGGCGGAGCAUGCGGAUUAAUUCGAUGCAACGCGAAGAACCUUACCAAGGCUUGACAUGAACCGGUAAGACCUGGAAACAGGUCCCCCACUUGUGGCCGGUUUACAGGUGGUGCAUGGUUGUCGUCAGCUCGUGUCGUGAGAUGUUGGGUUAAGUCCCGCAACGAGCGCAACCCUCGUUCCAUGUUGCCAGCGCGUUAUGGCGGGGACUCAUGGGAGACUGCCGGGGUCAACUCGGAGGAAGGUGGGGACGACGUCAAAUCAUCAUGCCCCUUAUGUCUUGGGCUUCACGCAUGCUACAAUGGCCGGUACAAAGGGUUGCGAUACUGUGAGGUGGAGCUAAUCCCAAAAAGCCGGUCUCAGUUCGGAUUGGGGUCUGCAACUCGACCCCAUGAAGUCGGAGUCGCUAGUAAUCGCAGAUCAGCAACGCUGCGGUGAAUACGUUCCCGGGCCUUGUACACACCGCCCGUCAAGUCACGAAAGUUGGUAACACCCGAAGCCGGUGGCCUAACCCCUUGUGGGAGGGAGCUGUCGAAGGUGGGACUGGCGAUUGGGACUAAGUCGUAACAAGGUAACC
rnacentral:rRNA from 1 species